AGUGGAUGGGGAGCAACCUAGUUGUGCGUGUGUAAAGGUAGUGCCAAGAAAAGCGAUGAUCAUGUUGAAAAUCAAUUCCCGGUACCCGAAACCGACACAGGUGGGCAAGUAGAGAAUACUAAGGGGCGCGAGGUAGCUCUCUCCAAGGAACUCGGCAAAAUGACCCCGUAACUUAGGGAGAAGGGGUGCCACCGAGAGGUGGUCGCAGUGAAGAGGCCCAGGCGACUGUUUAGCAAAAACAUAGGUCUCUGCAAACUCGAAAGAGGAGGUAUAGGGGCUGACGCCUGCCCAGUGCCGGAAGGUUAAAGAAGUUGGUCAGUUUUAGGAUGAAGCUAGCGACUGAAGCCCCGGUGAACGGCGGCCGUAACUAUAACGGUCCUAAGGUAGCGAAAUUCCUUGUCGGGUAAGUUCCGACCCGCACGAAAGGCGUAACGAUCUGGGCGCUGUCUCGGAGAGAGGCUCGGCGAAAUAGGAUUGUCUGUGAAGAUACGGACUACCUGCAUUUGGACAGAAAGACCCUAUGAAGCUUUACUAUAGCUUGGAAUUGUGUUCGGGCUUCCUGUGCGCAGGAUAGGUGGGAGGCGUAGAAGGUAUUCUUGUGGGGAUACUGGAGCCAACGGUGAGAUACCACUCUCAGGAGGCUAGAAUUCUAACUUAAUUAAGGACAGUUUCAGGUGGGUAGUUUGACUGGGGCGGUCGCCUCCAAAAAGGUAACGGAGGCGUACAAAGGUUCCCUCAGACUGGUUGGAAAUCAGUCGAAGAGUGCAAAGGCAGAAGGGAGCUUGACUGCGAGAAGUACAGUUCGAGCAGGGUGGAAACACGGUCUUAGUGAUCCGACGGUGCUGUGUGGAAGGGCCGUCGCUCAACGGAUAAAAGUUACUCUAGGAUAACAGGCUGAUCUCCCCCAAGAGUUCACAUCGACGGGGAGGUUUGGCACCUCGAUGUCGGCUCAUCGCAACCUGGGGCGGAAGUACGUCCCAAGGGUUGGGCUGUUCGCCCAUUAAAGCGGUACGUGAGCUGGGUUCAGAACGUCGUGAGACAGUUCGGUCCAUAUCCGAUGUAGGCGUGAGAAUAUUGAGAGGAGCCUUCCUUAGUACGAGAGGACCGGGAAGGACGCACCGCUGGUGUACCUGUUAUGAUGCCAAUUGUAAACGCAGGGUAGCCAAGUGCGGAGAGGAUAACCGCUGAAAGCAUCUAAGUGGGAAGCCCACCUCAAGAUGAGUAUUCUGGUGUAAGGUCACGGGAAGACGACCCGUAAAUAGGCACGAGGUGGAAGUGCAGAGAUGUAUGAAGCCGAAGUGUACUAAUAGACCGUCGGCUUGACC
rnacentral:rRNA from 1 species